rnacentral:rRNA from 1 species
GACGAUGAAGAACGCAGCCAGCUGCGAGACUUGGUGUGAAUUGCAGGACACAUUGAGCACUGAUUUUUCGAACGCACAUUGCGGCCUCGGUUCCUACCCGGGGCCUCGCCUGUCUGAGGGUCGGAUGAGACUUACCGAAGGGGAAUCCUUCCCCUACCUGGUCGUUCCGGGAACGGUCCCGAACCGUAACCGCCGACCUAAGGAAGAGACCUGGUCUCCGAACUUGUUUCCGAGAGUUCGGCGGUCGACGGCCGUGGAAUUCGCGUGUUCAAACCCAUCGAACCGCCUGCCGUCGUUCCGCAGACUCUCGGGAGACCUCACAGAUGUCGACCUCAGAUCAGACGAGACGACCCGCUGAAUUUAAGCAUAUCAAUAAGCGGAGGAA